rnacentral:rRNA from 1 species
GAGGAAUAUUGGUCAAUGGGCGAGAGCCUGAACCAGCCAAGUCGCGUGAAGGAAGACUGCCUUAUGGGUUGUAAACUUCUUUUAUAGGGGAAUAAAAGAGAUUACGUGUAAUCUAUUGCAUGUACCCUAUGAAUAAGCAUCGGCUAACUCCGUGCCAGCAGCCGCGGUAAUACGGAGGAUGCGAGCGUUAUCCGGAUUUAUUGGGUUUAAAGGGUGCGCAGGCGGGGUUUUAAGUCAGCGGUGAAAUAUUCAGGCUUAACCUGAAGACUGCCGUUGAAACUGGGACUCUUGAGUAUAGAUGAAGUAGGCGGAAUUCGUUGUGUAGCGGUGACAUGCAUAGAUAUAACGAGGAACUCCAAUUGCGUAGGCAGCUUACUAAACUAUAACUGACGCUCAUGCACGAAAGCGUGGGGAUCAAAC